rnacentral:lncRNA from 1 species
CCACCUCUGUUUCACCACCUCCAUCACAAUCUACCACCACACGUACCUGCUGCCACCUCCGUGAACACCCAAAAUCACCUGCCGGAAACACCAUCUACCUAGACCUCCUCCAGUCCUGUUUUACCGGGAACCAAUCACCACCUCAACCUACGGGAAAUACCGAAACCUUCAUCACCUGCUAUCACCAACCUUAUACCAUCUCUAAUCCACCUUGAAUUACCAAACGAAUUCACCACAAGAAAUAGGGCUCAAUUUGGCAAGUUAUUUUAAGCAGGCUUAAACAUCUAUCUCUGGGCUAAGCUAAGUUCUUAAAUUGGGCUACGGCGUGUUUUGGGUUUAAACAGCUUUGUUGGACUGCCGAAUAUAAAUUUAAUUGGUAUAGAAGUCCCAAGUCAAAAUUCCUUUAAAUAGUUGAAUUGCUUAAAGGCAUGUAGCAUUAGAAAAUUUCAUUUUUAUAAAUUUUUAUGAUUACACCUUCUUAUUUAUUAUUUUUUUUAAUCAACCCAUAUGUUACACGUGUCUUUAGUAGAAGAAAAUGUAAAUUUAAUUGCAAAUCAAACAAACAGGAUUUACACAACCAUACCUUAAGAUUGAAGAGAUUUGAAUAGGUGUAAAGAUUCUUGAGAUUGGAAUGGGUAAUUUGUGCUACAAUGCUUCCUUUGGCACUUUUUUUUUUUGUGUUAGACAAUGGCAUAAAAGCCCUUAGGUUGGUUAUAGAUAUGUGGAUUUACUUUUUUGCAGAUUUUUGGUUCAUUAAGACUGUAUUAUUUUUUUAAUUUUAUAUUUUUUUUAUAAAUUUACCCGAUAAACCAAACAUUUAUGUCAAAUUUAAGGGCCUUAAUGAACCAAAAAAUCAAACUUAAGGGGUUUAUGAACAAAAAAAGGUAAAACCAAAUAUUUUUAACAAACAUAAGGGCUUUAAUGAACUAAAAAUACACAAAAAUGAUAAAUUGAAAAAAGAAAUUACAAAUAUCCAAUUUUAAUUGGUGAAUCUGAAAUCCAUAAAAGAUAAAUCUUAAUAUUUCUGUCAAAUUUAAAAAAAAAAAAAAAAAAAAAAAAAAAAAAAAAAAAAAAAAAUUUAUGUCAUUAUCCAUUUUCUGGUGACAAUAAAAAAUACCUUUACUAGCAUCACUUGGCGAUCUCAUGUGAGGUACACGUACACAUAUUUAACAAUACACAUAAACACACACACACACACACACACACAGAGAGAGAGAGAGAGAGAUUACUCUUAUUGUUAGUUUGAUAAAAUAACAUGAGUUAAUGAAAUUUUAAGUAAAUUAAAUUAAAUUAAAUUGAUUAGUAAAGAAAUAUGUAUUAUUGUUAAUACAAACUUUAAUUAAAUAAAAGUUCAAUAAGUUUAAGUAAAUUAUAUAUAAACAUAUUUUUAUUUAAAAUAUAAGUUAACAAUGAACUAUAUCAUCAUAAAGUUGUUUACAAAAUAAUAAUGAAAUGUUAAAUAUUAAUAAAUUUUGAAAAAAAAAUAGUAAUUAUACAAUUUUAUUCUCCUUUAAUUUAAUUAAAUGCUAUCGUCAAGCAAUACCUCUUUUUCGGAAAAUACAAUAUGAGUUUAAAAUGACAAAUUAGAUUAAAUUCGCAUAGAUAGAUCAACAUGAAUUGAUUAGGUUAAAAAAAUAAAAAGGUUAAUUUUUUUUAUAACGGUAAAUCUAACGUUGUAAGCUACUCUUAAAUAUGAUUUAUAUGUAUAAUAAGACAUGAAUCAUCAACCUUAAAAAUGAAGGAGAUAUUGAUGACAUAUAAUGUCUUUGGUAGAAAAGAUUAACUAAUGGACAAAGUUUAUAUGAUAAUAGAUUUUUGAUAAACAAAAUUAGUGAAAAGUUAAUGUAAAAAACAACAAAAUGUUAAUGAAUAAAAAUAGUUAAAAGCUAAUAUUAAAAAAAUGAUAUGUUAACCAUUAUAAAAUUUUUUAGAAGUUAAAUCUUUUACGACUUAUCAAAAAAACAAAUGAUAAUGCUACGAGUAGUGGACUCGGUUUCACCUCGGCACGAAUUGAGGUGGCUGGGCAAACACCGCCUCCUCAGCUCAACAUGCGAAGUUCGGAGGGGAGUCUCGACAAUACAGUGAAGAUGAGAGAGAAAGUAAAAAAUAUAGCACUUUUCAAAAAAUGCAUACUUCAAAAAAAAACUUAUUUUUCAAAAUAUAAUCGUUUUUUUUUUUAUUUCAAAAUGUAAACCCUUUUCAACUAAUAUAAAUACCAACAACCUUCAUUAUUUUUCACCACCUUUAAACAUUCUUCAUUCAUCUCUCUCAAACAUUCAACAUUCAUCAAUAUUUAUCAAACUGACUCAUCUUUGGACCACAUCAGAAUACAUUGUUUUGGCUCGUGCAUGAGUUGAUGUAACUGAUGAUCCAAAUAGCAACUACCUCACAAUUGAGUCUUCUUUCUCGAACAAUAUCACCCAACGAUACAUAAAUAAAAUAGGUCAUGAUCGUCACCGUACUAACUAUCAACUCUUCGCCAAAUGGAGAAACAAAACUAUAAUGAUAGUACAGUUUCACAUUGUCUUUCUUAGAGUGAAACAUGAUUUUGUAAAUGGUGAAAAUGAUAGAAUAUUGUUGGCCAAUGCUCGUCAUACUUUUCGUGCAGAAAGUAACAAACCUUUUCGGUUUAUAGAGAUUUGUCAAGUCUAUAUAUGCACGACCCACGAGAACCUCAUCUUCAUUCUCUCAAAAGGAUUCUUCGCUACAUUCGAGGGACCCUUGCUCUUGGGCUUCAUCUUCAUGCCUCCCCCUUUAUGUCCUUAGUUGCUUACUCUAAUGCUGACCGAGGGGAUGCCCAGCUACUCGGCGAUCGACCUCAGGCUAUUGCGUCUUUUUAGGGGAAAACCUCAUCUCUUGGUCAUCUAAACGAAAAGGCACCAUCUCCAGAUCAAGUGCAGAGGAAAAAUAUUGAGGCAUUGCUAAUGUUGUUGCAAAAACUUCAUGGCUUCGCAACCUGUUACUUGAACUUCGUUGUCCUACUCCAAAGGCUACCAUUGUUUAUUGCAACAAUGUCAGUGAUGUUUAUAUGUCAUGUAAUUCGGUUCAACAUCAGAGAACCAAGCACAUAGAGAUUGACAUACACUUUGUUUGUGACAAAGUUUCUCUUGGACACAUUCUAGUUCUUCAUGUUCCAUCUUCUGCUCAUUAUGUCGAUAUUUUCACCAAAGGGCCAACCCUUUUUCUAAUUUUUGAUCCAGUUUAAAUGUCUGCCACUCACCUCCCGAUAAAACUACAGGGGGAUGUUAGUAUAUCUAUGUAUUUAGCCCACAUAUAGUUUUGUACAACCCAUUAUUAGCCUAGUACAACUAGCCCUUAUGAAUGUAACGUGUAUAUAUAUUUUGUUGUACCAUUUAUUCUAUUCAAGGAAUGAUACUCAAUAUUAUCACUAACUUUAUGGCUGAAUUUCUGGGGUGAUUUAUUUGAUAUUUAGGACUUUAAUCUUGCUUGAAGAGAUUCAUAUUCGGAUUUAGGUUCACCCAUCCCUACUCUGCUUCUGGGGCCAAAACUUUUGUGAGCUGCCAUCAUUGAAGCUAAUGAGCCCAAAUCAAGUGUGCCUUUGAGGUGAAACUCCUCCACUCGAGGUAGGUUUAAUGAGUUAGCCAACAUUUCAUAAGUUGGAGGAAUCAUGUAACUGGUGCCAUCUCCAAUAUUGAAACAAACAGGUUCAAAAAAUAACCUGCAAAUUACGAUAGACAACUCAGACAUAUAGUGUAACGCCCGGUUUUCAGGGCUAAGUAUUUUUGACGAUGUAAUAGUCUAGGUCAACUAUUGUAACUCUUUUUGAUGUAAUAAAGAUGAAAUAUUUUAAUUCUAUGUGAAUUAUGUGUAUUUGUGUGCUUAUUACUUUAUUAUAAAUAUAUAAUUAAUAAAAAAUAAAAAUAAGCGUCAAAAUUAAAGUGUGAGAUAAGCCCGAUAUCUCUACAUAAAGUUGUAGUGGUCGAAACAAGGAUUCUGAGGAUAUAAUGAACGCCAAAAUUCGAGUUAUAACGAAGAAGUUAUGGCCCGCCGAAGUUUUACAGCAAAACCGGCACGGCACCGGGAGACGUAAAUAGUGAAUUUACGAUGGAGGACUUUUUAGCCUUAGUGAUCUAAACUAAAGUUGUAGUAUAUGUUAAAUCGAGAACAUCCAUAAAAAGAACGCCCAAAUCCGACUUCGUAUGAGGAAGUUAUGAUUUUUCUAAGAUUCGGCUUAGCAGUGCACGACCCGAAACUCGAAUUUUAGUUCGAGCGGUUUUUGACUUACGCGACCUAAAUGAGAGUUGAAGAUCUCAUUAAUAGGAACUCAACGGUAAAAAGACAGAAGAAAACAGAGUCCGUAUGUAGAAGUUAUGAAUUUUACGCGGACGUUUAACAGUAUAAUCUCCUUGUACUGUUAAAUUUAAGAUCGGUCGAGAAUUAGCCGACAGAGUAAAAAUAAAAGUUGUAGAUAUUAUUUUUACCUACGCGUGGAUAUAAAGAACGUCAAAAACGGAGGUCGUAUGUGAAAGUUACGGAUUUUAGAAGUCGGAAGUGUGCUGUGCGAAAAUGGGUGAUGUGGCACAAUCUUGGCCAUUGCUUUCUCCCCAAGUCUUGCCACUAGAUGGUGACAUGUGGCACCAAGUUCAGCCAAUUUUCACCCUAUAAAUAGAACAUCUCCCACCCUCAUUUUCUUCACACAUUUCCCAUUCUUUCUUCUCUUUACUCUCUCUCUAGAACCUCUCUCUAGCCCCGAAACCCCCCGAAAAGCCUAGGGAACCUCCCUAGCACAAAGCGGAAGCCCGGGAGUGCUCGAAGGCUCCGAGAAAAAGAGAUUUUCAGCUCGGGAACGCUGCUCCAAGCAAAGCCCGGUUUUCUAUAAAACCCGCUAUAAGUGAGCUACGCCUACGCUAUUUUUAAUAUAUCGUUUAUUUAAUUAUAGUAACGUUAUUAGGAACUUAUAAUAAGUACUUGGGCUAUUAUUAUGGGCUAUAUAAGUAUUGUUUGACGCUUAUAUAAUAGUAAUAAUAGCUAGACUAUUAAUUAGUCUCGGCGAAUAAUAGACUAAACUCUAGUGGUAAUAAUACUAGGUUUCGUCGAAGGAAAUUAUUUUUAAGAAGCGAAGCGCUGUCUGAGUUCGGAUUCACCACCUUUUCAAGUGAGUGCAUAGUUACUUUCAACUUACACAUAGAUAUGAAGUAUUUUAUAUAAAUUACGUGCUAUGUGUGCAUAUUACCUGAAUACUUGCUAUCUAUGCUGGAUGAACAUUUUUAUACAUGUUUUCAAUGAUUUAAACUGUAUAUUUAUUUUAUAUCUACGAAAAUGUUGGGGUAAAACAUGGGUAGAUGUAUUAGUUGCUGUGUGAUAAAAUGAAAUAAUGAGAGGCCUCGUUAUAGAUGUUAUUGAUGAUCCAGUCAUCUAGCGGAGUAUAGAUGACGACCACGGACUAUUCUAGACAGUCCAGUGGAACACUAGCAGGCUCGCAACCUGUAGGUGUUUAUUUGAACUGUGUGUUUAUUUGAACUGUGUGCUCACCAGAUGUACUCCAUCCCCCACAUGGUUGCCUUAAGGACAUUUAUUGCUGAGGAAUCCCCUUAGCAGUAGUGUCCGUCCCGAUGAUAAUCCUUAGGAUAGGUCCCUUAUGAUAGAUGCUUAGGGACGUAAUGUGAGGAUAACGGGAACGGGUAAUCGGGUUUGUGUUGGUUGAGGAAAUUAAUAAACUUAUUUAUUGUGGGUUGAAAACCCUAUGUGCUCACCAGGCUCCCAAGCCUGACCCACUCAGUUUCUUGUAUUACAGGUAGUGGCGCAUGAGCAUAGAUGUGAUGUCUUGGGAUGAGAGAUUAAUGGAUUUUAGGCCUGUAAAUACGGAAUAAUGUAGUAAGGCCUAUGUUGUAUUGUUUAUGCUUAUGAUUUGUAUCGAACAUGACAUCCCGAGUCUUUUUAAUGAAAUACAUUUCUACGGAAAUGUUUUUGAUAAAUCUUUAUCAUAUUUUGUUUUGGGACAAAUUCCGCAACACUUUUAUUUAAAAUAUUACUCUGAUUUUUAAACAAAGCAUAAACAAAAUCGGUCUUUUUUGGCCGUGAUUUUGGGGAUGUCACAUAUAGUUACAUUUAAGUACAAUCCAAUUCACAUAAGCUUCAAAUGCAACACGAACCUAUCUAUGUCAAAAUGCGGAGAACAAUCUUCUUUCCUGUCUUUACGCAACCUCUUUUUGUAAUAUCAUUUAAAAAAACUGAAGUUGUUCUGGUCUUUCUGGCUCCUUUAAGGUCCUUUGAUCCUAAACUACUCCUCAAUCCUGGCAUCGCUUUGAGGGCAGAAGCAGGACAUGUCAAAUUAUUAUUAUUAUUAUUAUUAUUAUUAUUAUUAUUAUUAUUGCUUCUUCUCUUGUACUUAUGGACUUGAUCUGUAACAUCCAAAAAUACGACCUAAAAAAAAUUGUUUUAUAGUAUUAAAAUCGUGAUACUGAAAACCAUAAUAUAAAACGUAUGUCAUAAAUCUCCAAACAUAAUAAAAUGUAUCAUAUCAAACUGAAUUAAACAUGUGAAGAUGUCUAAUCAAACUCCGAGUAAAAACUGUUAAAGCUGUGGUGUGUGCGAUGCUAUCAACCCGAAUAUCUUCCAUGGGUACAAUCACCGACUCGUCUUCACCUUCCGGUCUAAGAUCGCAAUGUAUCCCAACUGCCACCGAAGUCUAGAACACAUGCCCGCAGCAUGUCCUCGAGAGUCUGAAUCGUUCUCUCGCUCUGCCCGUCCGUUUGAGGAUGGAAAGCGGUGCUGAAAUGGAGACGAGUACCCAUCUCGUCGUGAAACCGCUUCCGGAAUCUGGAAGUAAAACAGACAUCUCAGUCUGACACUACUGAAACAGGCACUCCAUUCCGUGCCACUACCUUUCUCACGUAAAUAUCGGCUAGCUUCUCGGCCGAUAUACUCUCCUGGAUCGGUAUGAAAUGAGCACUCUUCAUCAACCGAUCCACUAUAACCCAUAUGGAAUCCACCCCACGCGUAGUCCUGGGAAGCUUAGUGAUGAAAUCCAUGGUGAUAUCCUACUAUUUCCACACUGGAAUGUCUAGCGUCUGCAUCUUUCCAUGAGGUCUCUGGUGCUCUGCCUUGACCUUCCUGCAGGUCAGACAUCUUUCUACGUCCCAGGCGACAUCCCGCUUCAUGCAGGGCCACCAGUAGUCAGGUCGAAGAUCUCUAUACAUCUUCGUUGCCCCUAGAUGGAUGGAAAACCGAGACUUAUGAGCCUCAACACUUGUCGUACUCCACCCCAGUACGGCACCCAAACUCUCCAAUGAAGGGUCAACAAUCCUCUACUAUCAUAGUCAAAAGAAGCUACUCGGCCCACGACCCUCUCACACUUCUGCCUCUCCUCCCUGAGGCCCUCUAUCUGUGCCUCCUUGAUUUGCUCCAAUAAUGGAGUAAUCAUCGUCAUCCUCAAACAGAUGUCUCUAAUCGGGGCCGCUAUUGCCUUGCAGCUUAGGGCGUCGUCCACUACAUUGGCCUUCCCAGGGUGAUAAAGGAUCUCACAGUCAUAGUCCUUCAACACGUCUAACCACCGUCUCUGCCUCAUGUUCAGAUUUGGCUUAUCCAUGAGGUACCUCAAGCUCUUGUGAUCCGUGUAGAUGGUACACCGGACCCCAUAGAGGUGAUGUCUCAAAAUAUUGAGAGCAAACACCACUGCCCCCAACUCUAAAUCUUGUGUAGGAUAGUUAGCCUCGUAGGGCUUCAACUGUCUUGAGGCGUAAGCUAUCACACGGCCACGCUGCAUCAGCACGGCUCCCAUUCCUGUGGUCGAGGCGUCACAGUAGAUUACGAAAUCCUCUACUCCCUCUGGCAGGGUAAGGAUUGGUGCCUCGCACAAUCUCUGCCUGAAGGUCUCAAAUGCUACCUGCUGCUCAGGCCCCCAACGAAACACCACCGACUUCUUGGUCAUUCGGGUGAGCGGUACUGCUAUCUUGGAGAAAUCCUGGAUGAAUCUCUUGUAAUCCCCUGCCAAGCCUAGGAAGCUCCUAAUCUCGGAUGGAGACUUCGGGACCUCCCACAGCAUUACGGCCUCUAUCUUGGCCAGAUCUACCAAAAUACCCUUCUAGUUGACGAGGUGACCAAGGAACUGCACCUCGCACAACCAGAACUCGCACUUGGAGAACUUCGCGAAAAGCCUCUCCCUCCUCAAAACUUCCAGCACCUCCCUCAGGUGUUCCUCAUGCUGCUCCUGAGUCUUGGAAUACACUAAGAUAUCAUCUAUGAAUACUAUCACAAACCGAUCCAGCAUCGGCCUGCAUACGCGAUUCAUGAGAUCCAUGAAUGUGGCUAGAGCGUUGGUGAGUCCAAACGGCAUCACCACAAACUCAUAAUGACCAUACCUGGUCCUGAAAGCAGUCUUCUGCACAUCCUCGCCUCUGACCCGCAUCUGAUGAUAUCUGGAGCAUUAAUCGAUCUUGGAGAACCAAGACGCCCCCUGAAGCUGAUCAAACAAAUCAUCUAUCCUCGGAAGUGGGUAAUGGUUCUUCAUUGUUACCUUAUUCAGCUCCCGGUAAUCUAUACACAUACGGUGCGACCGUCCUUUUUCUUCACAAACAAAAUUGGUGCACCCCAGGGUGAACUGCUCGGCCUGAUAAAACCCUUGUCUAACAGCUCUUGCAGCUGCAUAGACAACUCCUGCAUCUCUGGGGGUGCCAACCGAUACAGUGCCUUGGCUAUUGGAGCCGCACCAGGAAUUAGGUCGAUCCCGAACUCAACCUGCCUCUCAGGAGGUAUUCCCGGCAAAUCCUCUGGAAAUACAUUCGGGUAGUCUCACACCACCGGAACAUCGUCAACUGUCAUCUUGCCUUUCUCCCAGGCAUCUAAGACAUAGGCUACAUAACUGACGCAACCCUGCUGAAAAUAACGUCUUGCUCUCGCCGCUGAACACAGAACUGGUCCGCGUUGUGGCCUCUCGCCCUGUAUCACUAACUCUCCCCCACUGGGAGUGCGAACCCUCACUAACUGCAGCUCACAAUCUAUCACCGCCCCAUUGGGGCUCGGCCAAUCCAUGCCUACUAUGACCUUAUUCCCUCGUAGGGCAAUAGGGACCAAAUCCACUAGAAACUGCUCGUCGAAUAACUGCAGAGAACACCCUCUGUGUACCCUUGCAACCCUAACGUUCCAAUCAGCUGCUAUCUCGACCUCAAGUGGACAAUCUAGCUCCCAUGGAGCUCUGCUAAACCUCUUGCUAAGUGCAAGAGAGACGAAUGACCGGGUAGCCCCUGAAUCAAACAACACGGUAGCUGAAAUGUCGUUCACUGAGAACGACCUUAUACAAAACAUAUACCCAUAAGAAAAAAACAAUAAUAAAUGCAGAGGUAAAGGAGAAAUACAUACCCGUCACCACGUCAGGAGUCGCUUUCGCCUCCUCUGCUGUCAGCUGGAAAGCCCUCCUCUUCGCCACUGGCGUCUCAGCUGGGACUUUUUAUGUCCCCUCUGGUUGCACUGGAAGCAAAUCAUAUCCGACGCCGCAAUGGCGAUGGUGUUGGAUUAAUGUCUAAGUCCAUAACUAUAAUUGGUAAGACUUGACUCGACCCGGCAUGGUCCAUUUGGGUUGCAUGGCAUCAUGCACUUGGAUAGACUAAAUGAGAGAAAUAAGACACUUGUGGUUAUUAAUAUAUUAUAAGUUCUAGUAUAUUAAUAAUAAGAAUAAUAAGAUUAUUUAAUUAGUAUUGAUCAAGAAUUAAUCUAGGAUUAAUUAAGUGAUCAAAAGAAGACUAAUUAAAUAUAUGGGUUGAUUGUGUAAAUCAUCCAUACUUGUAUAGUGGGCUAAUGCUCCAUGGAUAAUCAAGUUGGGCUAAAACCCAUAGGAUGGUCCAUGGAUGCUCCAUGGUGUAAUUGAACCCAUGGAUCCAAGGAAAUGGAAAGCCAUGACAAUUAAGGGUUUACCCUAAUUGUAACACUAUAUAAAGAUCACAUUCUUGGGAAAAAUCGGCCACUAGAGAGAGUGAGAAAGGGCUAGCUGAUUUUCAUGAAGUGUAGAAUUCUCUCAAGUCAUUCCAUUUGUAUUUGGUGUUGUGUGAACCAUUUGAGGUGUCACACUUGGGGCACUAGGCACUCAAGCUUCAUGAAGACAUUCUACACCAAAGAGGUAUGUAUUCUAUCUUGCUAUAGUUAUUGUUUUGUAUGCUAGAUUAGGAUAAUACCUUGGAAGUUCUUAUUUGCAUGUAUAAUAGAGAAAACAUAGAUCCAAGGUAUUUAGGGUUGCAUGUACACUUAGGAAGUGUUAGAAUGCUCAAAACCCAACAGUGGUAUCAGAGCCACGGGUUGUUUUCUGUUAUAUUGAUGCAAAUAUUUUAUUUUCAAAGUUGAAAAAAAAAAAAAAAAAAAACAUGAAGUUUGUCAAAUUUUAAGAUAAUUACUUGUUCUUGUGAAAAACUAAUUAUUUGUAAAAUUUGAAUAAUUUGCUUUAUGAGUUGAAUUAGGUCAAAUUUAAUAAAAGAUAAAAUAAUAUGAUUAUUUUAUUAGUUUUAAAAGUUUGAUCUAAAGAGUUUUAUUUUUUGAAACCUCCAUAAGUUAUGGAUAUGAAAAGGUUUUAAAAAAAAAAUUGAUUCAAAGUUUUUUUGGAGUUACAAAAUUUGGUGUUAAUGUUUUAAAGGAUUCCAUAACUUAAGAAUAAGUUAUGGAUCACCAAAAGUUUUUUGUGUUACCUUGUUUUAUGAGUGAAUUUAGAUUAAUGAAUAAAAUUAUGUGAUAGUUGGUUUUAAUCCAAAUUAAUCUAAGAAUUGAUUCUAAAAUGUGUUUUUGUAACUUGUCCUCAAGUUAUAUGAAAAGUCACAUUUAAGAAUCAUAAAACUCAUAAAAAUUGGCAAAGGUUACAAAAAUGAAGAGUCUAGUUCUAAUUAAAUGGUUUUAUGACUCCAUAACUUGUCCUCAAGUUAUGGAGGACCAAGAGUCUCUUCAUUUAAUAAAAUAAAAUAAAAAAAAAAAAAGUGUAACCUUAAUUAAUUCCAUAAGUUAUAAAAUAAAGAAAAGUUAAUUCUUUUAUUAGUUUAAAGUCUUCCAUAACUUGUCCUCAAGUUAUGGAACUUGAAGAGUUUUUGGAUUAAAACUACUUUAAACACAUAAGUUAUGGAAUUAAUUAGUUUUGAAUAGUUUCAAAACUUGCCCUCAAGUUUUGGAAUUUGUAAAGUUUUCACUUAUGAAUACUUUAAUUCCAAGUUAGCCCUUAGAAUUUUAAAAGUUAAAAUUCAACCCUUAUACUUUAUAAUAUUAUAAGUUAAUAAUAUAUAUAUGUAUAAGAGUAAAGUCAGUCUUACCGCUAGUACGCCUCAUUCACGAAGCCGGUCUAUAAGGUGGGUAUAAGGUUGUUGCCUAUAAAAUGGCAACUUAAUGGGUGUCCACUCUCACCCACCGCUUGCUUGACUGGUGGAGGGUCGUUAGCCGAACGGGUUUGACAGGACUAGAAUUCUCCCUUCAUUAAAAGUAUUAAUGAUAAUACUAAGUAACUAAACUCUUAAUAAUACCCAAUCUUAGUUACUUAGGAAAAAUGUGAAUAAGGUGCUAAUCCAUGAAAUUACACUUUACACUUUGUCUAAGUCGUUAGUGGAGCGUGUGUGGUUAACCGGCACACUAACUUGGACUUAACAAGGUAGGUAAAGGGUGACUUAAUAUUUAUCAUAGUAUCGAUGGAGCGUGUGUGGUUAACCGGCACAUCGAUUGAGGGGUAAUUUAUUAAGGGUACCAAGUGAUUUGCAUGGUUACUUCACACCUUGUUUUGUGAUCCUCGGCAUCCCAGUCACAAAACCUGAAGGGCACACUCGAGAUUGAAACAUGCCUUUGAACAGUUCAAUGAAUCUCAAAGAUCUAGGAGUUUCAAAACCAAUUAAAACCUAAUAAUACAUUUCGUUUAUCUUGGUGGAAAUUGGUGAAUCGUCAUUCACCUACCUUCAAAUAUUUUAUAGCUUGGAUUACGGCAUACCUCUUCUAAGUUAUAAAAUAGUUUGUUGGGUCCUAGCCUUAAUAUUUCAUAUUGGGUGUCAUAUUAAGGACUUUAAAUCAACUAUCUUGAAUAUCUCCCAAAAGAUGUCUGGUUUAGACACCUAUGAUCUUCCCAAAUCUCUUGAAACAAGGUUUCCUAAUGAAGAUGAUGUCCCAUGGAUAUCAUACUUCUUUCUCCUCCUCCAAUUAUUCUCCCUAACCCACAAGUUCUUGAAAAGUUUAAGGUCACUCAAGCCCUAUUGGCAAGGCAAGGUCUAGGUGUGAUCACAUCUUGGAGAUGUAGUCACAUAUUGACAAGCCGGGAGAGUUGGGUGUCAAAGUCUUGAGAAAGUUGGUGGUUCAAUCACUUUCUAAGUCACAUAGUGAGUUCCUUUGGGACACCUAUGAAACAGACUAUGACAAGACCCUUAAUGAUCUUAUCUAUUUGCUAAGAUCAACUUCCUAAAACUUUAUGGACAUUGACAAUGAUGACAUUGGAUAUCCAGUAAAGCAUUCUCUUCCCAAUGGAAAGGGAUCGGCCAUAGUCAACUCGGUUGACCAAAUGGUAAAGAGAAAAGCUAAGUCUGUGAUAGUCCCGUGUACCAUUAUCAAAGGGUCCAUAUGUUUAUAUUGCCAAAGGAAGGGGCAUUGGUUGCGAAGCUGCCAAAUUUACCUAAGGAUGUUAAAGUCAAUAAGUUUGACUCUACUUCAGGUAAAGUCCACUAUCUAACUCUGUUAAGUUUCUAUUCUGAGAUUCUUGAUACAUGAUGUGACUGGGUCACAUGGUGAUGUUUUAAGAAUCAAAGAAAAGUGAAGAAACUUAAAGAAAGAAUAUGCUGAAUCUGAUGGCGUAGAUGGAUUUCUAUCGCAUAGUUUGAAGAUCGGAUUCUUGAGCUACUUCUUAGGAGUUAUGAGAUAUUGCUUAGGAAUAGAUAACAACAAGUUUUCAUAUGGAUUGUAAGGAUAAGUUUUUCCGCAAAGUUUUAAAAUAAAAGGAAAAUUUUUGAUUUUAUUUAUUUUAAAAUAUCCUUACAAUGGCAUUUGAGGAAAAAUUGUUGCUUAUAUGAUUCCAUUAAUAGCAAGAGUGGAAAUAUGAAAUUGAUUCUUUCAUUUGUGGUAAUGUCUAAAUUUACCAAAUAAGGAAAGAUUCUCAUCACCCAAGUUUCAAUUGGACCGGAACUUGGAAUCAUGCAAGUUGUAUAGCAUGAUGAAUGAGAACUUUCAAGUUUUGGAAAAUUAAGACUAAUUACUCGUUCACAUGGAUGUGUGAGUCAAGUAAAGGACUAAGGGAUCGAGUACACAUUCUUGUGCACUGAUUAAGUCCACCACAAAAGUUUGAUAAGACUAUUCGUCACAGUUUACUAAAGCUCAGUAAAUAUGAUUAUACUUACAUGCUUAAGUGUAACUCUGAGACAUUGGAAAAAGGUUCCAAUGUAAGGCAGAGCGAAUAAGAAGAAUCAAUUUAGGCAGAAGGAUAAAAGUUUCUCAAAUCUGAAAAGAUGGGAGAGUACUUUAGUAUCAGUUUUGUGAUCAUCUUAAUGAUUAAGAAACCAUAUCAAAAUUAGUUCUCUAAGGAAAUCUUAGUGCAUUCUUAUGACUAAGAAGAGGAACUUGAAUUGUUGAAAUGGUUAAAUCAAGAAGAUGAGUCAUACUACAAGUCUUAGAGUCAUACUUCAAGAUUGUAAUUUGAGUGACAUGUCUUAAAGAAGGUUUAAAACACUUGUCAAAUGUAAGAGUAAAAGUUUCCUACUCUUGUACAUUUGAAAUUGGCAAGUUGUGAUGUUUUGGAUAAACAAAGACCAACUAAGGCCAAUUAUGUGAAGUGUUUGUCUUGAUUAGAAUCCGCACUAUCUCUUGGAUGUUUGACAAGGGAGUCUUAUAGGUCAAGAGGACAUUGGGAGUCUUAAAGGUCUUGAAAGUCUCAAGAACUAAUCAAGAAUAAAACCUGAAGUUCUUCAUUCGGACACGGAAACUACUCAAGCAAUUCUAUCCUCAUAAUGAGAAGUUGUACUAGCAUACAAUGCUAAGCUCGUGCUAUCAGGCAUAACCUAAACAAGCUAUCCUACUGCUGUCUACUCGAUACUAGCAUGCAAUUCUAAUAAAGAUGGAUUACACAAAGCAGGCACAUAAGGCAUCCUCCUAGAUCCUUAGUCCUAUACUAGCAUACUGUUCUACUGAAACUGAAACAAUUAAUCAUAAUAUAAACUUGUAUGGGUAAUUUGGGAGUACUUACUUGAGCUCGGCUGAUUGCAUGCACCACACCCUUUUCUCCUUAUCAAAACUCUUUUCAUUUCUAAGUUCUUUUUGAAAAUGCUUUUCUUUUGAAAACCUUUUUCCAUUUCCUUAGUUUGAGUUCAGAUGCACCUGAGAGUGUAUCCGAAUCCCUCAAACCAAGGCUCUGAUACCAACUUGUAACAUCCAAAAAUACGACCCAAAAGAAAUUUGUUUUAUAGUAUUAAAAUCGUGAUACUGAAAACCAUAAUAUAAAACGUAUGUCAUAAAUCUCAAAACAUAAUAAAAUGUAUCAUAUCAAACUGAAUUAAACAUGUGAAGAUGUCUAAUCAAACUCCCAGGAAAAACUGUUGAAGUUGUGGUGUGUGCGAUGCUAUCAACCCGAGCUCUUCCCUUUUAUUGCGGAAGUACCUGAAACCAAAACUGAAACUGUAAGCACGAAGCCUAGUGAGCUCCCCCAAACUACCACAUACCAUACAAUCACAUAUAAACAACUAUUGGGCCAUGCCCACUGUAUCGGACCAAAGUCCGGAAACUGCAUCGGACCGAAGUCUGGAACUAACCAGGGCCUUGCCCUUUGCAUCGGACCGAAGUCCGGAACUACUGAGGCCUUGCAUCCUGCAUCGGACCAAAGUCUGAAACUAACUGCAUCAGGCCGAAGUCCGGAACUACUAAACAUAGCAUAGCAUAAACAUAUCAACUAGUAUGAACAUAUAUACUGCAUACUGCAUAGGGCCGUAGCCCGGAACAUAUAACACAUAAAUCUUGUCUGAGCCACGAAGGCAUCAAACACACUAACUACUACAUCGAACCGAAGCCCGGAAACUACUGCUAGCUAGUCGGGUCGGCAUUGUGGCCGUAGACCCGUUCCUACUGGAAGGAAACUCACCCCGUGCACUGGCUGCUAAAUGAACUGCUCUAGAAAUUGUCUGCUGCUGCUCCGGUAUCUCCCCGACUAUAAUUUCCAUAAAUACACUCAAUCAAUUACUGAUAACCGUACUGAGGGUAAAAUGACUAUUUUACCCCUGGUCCAAGUCAACCUCCUGGUCAAAGUCAACAAUCAGUUGACCUGACUCGUCGAGUUGGGUCACCAACUCGUCAAGUCCUUACUCUCACUUUAUGCUUCUACUCGUUACUACUUGUCAAGUUUUGGCACAAACUCGGCGAGUUCCUCUUUGUUACUAAUACUCCGACAAUCUGCAUCCGACUCACCGAGUUGUAUGAACAACUCGUCGAGUUCUCCUUCAUCAUAUGAACACACUAGCUGUGACUCGCCGAGUUGUAUGAACAACUCGUAGAGUCUGCUCUUGAGGCAUGAAGAUUUCCUUGGACUCGCCGAGUCAGGGCAUUGACGCACUGAGUUCUUCCACGAAUGAGUUUAACCCUCUAGCUCACUGAGUCCUUCUCUCACUCAUUGGUUCCACUCGGCAUAACUCGAAAUGGGGAAAACAAGGGACUCACGACUCGACUCGCCAAGUCUGAAGGACUACUCACCGAGUCGCAUGCGUGCAAACACUAUAUACUCAAUUCUGCUUGAAACCAGUCCAUUACAUUCAUAGAUCUGGGUUCUUGGGACUUGAUUAACACGUAAAGUUUCCAACUUUACGUGUAAAUAACAUCAAAUGAAGGUUUUAGGGUUCAAAGCACAAUAUAAGAGUAGAUCUAGAGCUUUCCUGCAAAAAUGGCUCCAUAAAGGUACUAGAUCUAAGCUUCUGGAACUCAAAUCUAUCCAGAUCCGAAGGCCAUUCAUCUCAAUGAGUCCUCUAUAUUAUUACCAAGUCAAGAAAUGGUUCAAGAAUAGCUUUAAAUAAAGCAUGAAAACAGAAAAGGGGCGAGUUAUACCUCACUAUUCUCUGAAAUGACACAAAGAUUCUGAAUCUCCUUCUUCUCCUCUUGAUCUACCUUCCUUCUUUUCUCAAAAUCUUCAAAGAAACCCACCAAAUCACACAAAAUGCUAAGAGAGUUUUAGGGUUUCGAGAAUGGUGCUCUGAGGGGUGAUGGGGGCUGACUUGAGGUCCCAAAAGUUGUUUAAAUAGGAUGCAAACCCUUGAAAUUAGGGUUUCAUCCUGACGGGCGGACUCGCCGAGUCAGGAAUACGGACUCGUCGAGUUGCCAACUUACACGUGCUCAAAACCCCGACUCAACUCGACGAGUCUGGCUACUGACUCGUCGAGUUCCUCCUGAGAACUUAGAAAUUAUAUAAUUAUUUAAAUAACAUACCUGAAUUGGGGCGUUACAUAAUCACCAAGCAUGGCUCUAUAUCGCUCCUCAGAGACGGAUGUAUUGUAACUGCCAUCUUGGCCUUCAUCACUACUGUACAAAUUUUGCCUCCUUUUCUUUUCAGACCAUUACAUUAAUUCGGUCUGCUUGCUCACCUGUUGAUUAUCAAAUCAUUAACUUCAAUAGGUAUAUUCGAUGGACGCUUUAAUAAACUCUUAUUCCUUCUAAUGGAUACAAGUGUUUAAACUUUAAAGUUGCCUACCUCGGCUACCUCUCAAUCAAGCAACUAGUUUUGACAAAUUUUCUAACAUGUAGGCUAAGUAUCGGAAGUCUAACAAAGUCAGUUGGUUUCGUUCACUCUUAUAAGUAUUUGAUUGGACAUUAAUUGUUAAAUAGAAAAACGUAAAAGUUAAAACAUUAACUAAUACCAACAAUUCAUACAUGUAAUUAUCUUUUAUGACAAGGGUCCAACCAAUCACUAAGAGCAACAGACUCAGAUUUGUAAGUUUAAUUAUGAGUGAAGUAAGCGUUUUCUAACAAUUAUAUUAUAUACCAUUUUUCAAGUAUGGCCAAAUUAACUUUUUGUUUAACACGUUCACUCCUCAUGAGUUUUCAAUUGUUAAAAUUGGCUCCGUAUCCCCGUAUCCUUUUUUCCUACAUAUAUCUCCGUUAGUCAGGCCGGAAUAUAGGAGGUACAUGGAUGUUGUCGGUCAAAGUGAUAUCCAAGAUAGGCCAGAUAUUAUUGCUCGCAUUUUCCAUAUUAAAGUGCACGCUUUCAUUACUUUUCUUAAAGAGGACAAAACUUUUGGUGAGGUAGAUGCAUGUGAGUUCAUUUGCUUUUUUCUGUUUGUAAUUAUAUCUUCUUUGUAUUUACUUUUCAGUGUCCCUGAUGUCUUAUGAAAUAUUAAUGUUUUUUGUCUUAUAUGUAGAUCUAUACACCAUUGAAUUUCAGAAAAGAGGAUUGCCUCAUUGUCAUACACUCUUGUGGGUUACUUCACCAUUUAAAAUACGGGAUGCUGAAGAUGUAGAUAAAUAUAUAACUGCUGAGUUGCCGGACUUCGCAUCUGAACCCGCAUUGUAUAGAAUGGUUACUACAUGUAUGUUGCAUGGUCCAUGUGGUUUGUUGAAUGUACGCGCUCCUUGCAUGCAAGAUAUGAAGUGCACCAAACAUUUUCCGAGACCGUUUGUAUCAUCAACAACUUUCGAUGAAAACGGUUAUGUUCGCUAUAGAAGACGACAAGGAUCUUAUCAUACGUUAGGGAAUGGCAUCACGAUUGAUAACGGAUAUGUGGUUCCAUACAACAAGUGUCUAUGUAGCCGUUUUGAUGCUCACAUAAAUGUCGAGUACUGUGGUUGGAAUAUGAUGAUUAAGUACCUAUUCAAGUACAUUUCAAAAGGUGUAGAUCGUGUUCGGUUCACUCUUCAAAGAUCAGAAAUUGAUUGUGCUACCUCCUCCUCUACUACAUCUAAUGCUGUUAAUGAAAUCAAAGAAUUCUUGGAUGGUCGAUAUAUAUGCCCACAUGAAGCAUCGUGGAGGAUCUUAAAUUUUCCUAUUCACGAACGUCAUCCGACGGUUCAAGUUUUAGCAGUUCACCUAGAAGGUAUGCAAACUACUAUUUUCAAGGAAAAUGCAAGGCUUGAUACAAUAAUUGAUAUUCCAACCUUUGGUGUAACAACAUUGACGGAAUGGUUCCGUAAUAAUCAAGCGGAUACACGAGGUGUUAACCUUACAUAUACUGAUUAUCCGAGCAUAUACCGAUGGGACACUACUGCUAAAGCCUGGAUUCAUAGAGCCAUUACAACUAAAAGAACCAACACAACUAUUGGCAGACUUGCAUACGUGCACCCAACUGCAGGAGAGUUGUUUUACUUACGGAUUUUACUUUCCCAUCAAAAAGGAUGCAGGUCAUUCAGUGAUAUCAAAACUGUUCAUGGGAGAACAUAUUCUUCUUUUUGUGACACAUGUGAGGUAUUGGGUUUGACCGGUGAUGAUAGAGAAUGGUUAAGAGCUUUCGAUGAGGCGGCUUCUUGGGCAACUGCUGCUGAAUUACGAUCACUUUUUUAAAAUUUGCUAUUAUUCUGCGAGGUAGGCAGUCCCGUAUUACUGUGGGAGUCAGCAAAAAGCAAAAUGGGCGAUGACAUAUGUCAUGCUUUUACUCAUGCUUCCUCAGAUUCUCAACUUAUACCAAAUGCCACCACUGUUGAAGAGCAAGUGCUUUUGGAAAUUCAGAAAAUUCUUCUUGCUUCAACUCCAUCAAGAUCUCUUAUAGAUUUUGGAUUGCCCGUGCCAUCCCCAUCUAUUUUAGCUGUUCUAAGAAAUCGACUUCUUCUUGAAGAAACAAACUACAACACAGAAUUGUUAUCCACUCAACAUGCUUGUAUGGUUUCUAAGUUGAAUCCAUAUCAACUCAAAAUCUAUCAACAUGUUGUCACCGCUGAAGAAAACAAAAAGCAAUUACUCCUUUUUGUUUAUGGACACGGAGGUACAGGUAAAACGUAUUUGUGGACAACCAUUCUUUCGUAUUUCAGAUCUAUAGGAAAAAUAGUUUUGGCUGUUGCAGCAUCAGGUAUUGCAUCAUUGUUGUUACCUUCAGGCCGUACCGCACACUCCAGGUUUGUUAUUCCACUUGAUCUUAACGGCAAACGUUCAUGCAACAUUAAAAAGAAAACACAGUUAGUGUAGCUUCUAAAGAGAACAUCUAUGAUUAUAUGGGAUGAAGCUCCAAUGAGCGAUCGUCGUUAUUUUGAAUUUCUUGACAAAUCAUUAAGAGAUGUUCUUGAGGAUGACACACGUUUUUUUGGUGGGAUGUCAAUGUUGUUAGGAGGUGAUUUUCGCCAAACACUACCUGUUCAACCUAAAAGUAGGAAAGCACAGAUAAUCAAUCUAACCUUACCGAAUUCUUAUCUUUGGUCACAUUUUACCGUCUAUAGAUUACAUCGUAAUAUGCGACUGUCUGAAACAGAGACUUCGGUUGUCUCUUCAAGUCACACAUCUGAUUUUGCUUCGUGGUUGCUUGACAUUGGCAAUAGAAAGAUAGGAACUCCAGAUAAAGAUGAUCCAGAAAAUACAAAGAUUAUGCAUAUACCACAACCUUUCCUUAUCAGAUCAGAAAACAUGGGAUUAGAAUCGCUUAUAGAUUUCGUUUAUGGUUAUGACAUGCUAGCCAAUCCAACUCCUGAAGAUUUAUCUGUCAGGGCUAUUAUAUGUCCCAAAAAUGAGACAGCAGACCGAGUGAAUACUUUAAUAUUAUCAAAAACCAAAGGUGAACAAAUUAUAUACAACAGUUGUGACUCUAUCAAAUCACCAGGUCGAGAUACAUUAGAACUAGAUGCACUGUAUCCACAAGAAUAUCUAAACAAUUUAGAUUUCUCUGGUGUUCCUCCACAUAAACUGUUGUUAAAAGUUAACACACCAGUUAUGCUUUUAAGAAAUAUUAACCAAAGGGAAGGAUUGUGCAAUGGAACACGAUUAAUCAUUACACAGUUACUGCCUUUUGUUAUUAAGGCUUCCAUAAUAACAGGGACGUCAAUAGGCAAACGGGUAUACAUUCCGAGAAUUAGAUUUGUACACAAUAGUUCAGACUUACCAUUCAUCUUCACUCGAAAACAGUUUCCCUUCAAAGUUUGUUACGCAAUGACUAUAAAUAAAAGUCAAGGGCAAUCGCUCAAAAAAGUUGGUUUAUUUCUUGAAAACUCCGUAUUCACACACGGUCAACUGUAUGUCGCCAUAUCAAGGGCAACUUCCCCAUACUCAAUCAAGAUUCUACUACAACAAGACGAUAAUUUACCAGUGAACUGUACCAAGAAUGUCGUAUUCAAUGAUUUGUUAACAAAAGUUGACAUGCGUGAGGUCUACAUAUCAUAUACAUCCACACAGAUAUGAUAUACCUCAAAUAUGUUACCAAAUCCUCUAUUUUUCCCAUAAUCAACUUUUGUACCCGCUCUAAAAUCAUACUUAGUGUGUGUGAUAUAUAUAUAUAUAUAUAUAUAUACUAACAAAUUUUCAUUUUAUUAUUUUAGCAGACAUAUGACGUCGCAGUUAGAUAGAGUAUCAAACCUCUACUUUGGUUCACCAGGAAACCCACUUGAAGUACGUGUAUUGCGAAGAUGGACAUUUCAUUUUAGGAAAAACGUGCUAUGGUUCAUUGUCGUUGACAAAUAUGUAAACUACAUAACACAUCUGUUCAAUACCUUAUUGAAACUCAUUUAUAUAUAUACAACAAUAAUGAGUUUGUUUAAUCAGGGAGAGGCCAUUCAACUACUUGAAGAAAAGGAAAAUCAGGCACAUGCUGAAUCUAAAUUGUCACUUGGACAGUGUUAUCGCAUUACAGACUACACAUGCACCACCCCUGACAAGUAUCAAAAAAUAUUGGAUAACCCUGUCCAUAUGAAUAUUGGUGAAGCAUCAACAAUUGAAAGCAUAUCAGAUACUGUCUUGCUUCCAACACACUGGUUUCACUUUCGUCCACGAUCACAUUUCGAAAUAAUAGCUGACAAGAAUGUUGACUAUCCAGGUAAAAUAAUCAAUUUCAGAUACUAAUGUCCGCUUAUGUAAUGAAAAUACUUCACACAGAUAGAAUCUAACAUGAAGAUUCAUCUAAUGUAAAUGUUCAGAUUUUAUUGGCAUUUUCAUUAACAUCACAGACCGGGAGAAAAAAAACAAAGAACCUUUCAUAACAAUAACCGUGACAGAUGAGAAGUAAGUCACAACUAUUGCAUUAAUAUAUAAAUGUAGAUGUAUAUUGCCUAACUCUUUAUAUUGCAAAAAUAACACAAGCGCCGAGGAGACUACAAUACUUCUGNUUCAUCUGAGAAAUUUAACCGGAAUGCUUUGAUGUCGACCUCUGGCACAACCGUUGUUGUCUUCACCAACAUGAAAUACACCUUAUACAAUGGUUAGUUACAAACAUACACACCAUUUACACGACUAUCUUUAUGUUCCUACAAUAACAUGAUGCCAACAUUCACUAUACAGGAAGUUUAACAUUGAAAAGUACCAGUGCAACAUACAUGUACAUAAAUCCCCAAAUUCCCGAAACACAAGAUUUGAUCGAAAGGUAUCCCACACACUUUCUUCUUUACACUCAAAAACUAAAACUAAAAUUUCAAUUUGGAUUCAUAGUCACAAACAGAUACAACAUAUUGAGUUCUUAUUACAUACAUUUACACAUCAUCAGGUUUGGCAACCAAUUUCACUCAAUACCAUCUCCAUCACCAGUAACAAUAACCUUACAACAGUUAAAAGCCUCAGACUACUCUCAAAUUGUGGUAAAAAAUCAUACACAAAUGUAACUUCAUGAUUCUACUUGUAAUAACUAUUACUGAGUAUCCAAAAAAUACAUCAGGAUAAAAAAUUUGUUAUAAAGGCUACAAUAUCCGACUUUGUCUUUAAAGAUUGUUGGUUUCAUGUUACCUGCAAUACAUGUGGAAAGUCAACAAAUAAAAAGGGCAACGAUUGGUUCUGCAUAAAACACGGAACUGUCAAUGAUCCCAAGCUUCUGUACGCACUGCUCCAAACGAUACUAUAUUAUUUAUUAUCAGUAACAGUAUGUGCAUAACAACAUUUAUAUUGACAGUUACAAGGUUUCGGCAAUUUAACGGAUAUCACAGACUCAGCAACAAUCUUCAUGACUGACGAGGCCGCGCGUGCCCUAACAAACAUCAGUUCACAAGAUAUCAUCAACAUGUAUCCUAAUGAAGACAUGAACAAGCUACCACCACCACUUCAGAAAUCUAAAGGUUCAACUAAAAAAGUCUAUAUACAAUGUAAAAAUCCAUCCACCGCCAAUAACAUACGCUUUGCAAUCACAUCAACAACCAAUAUUGAAAGUAUAAAGUCCACAUUGACAUCACCAGCAAAUGUACCAGUAACACCAUCAACAACAAUGGAUCAAACAAAUAAACGAAAAACAAAAACGCAAACAACUGCAACAUCACACAGAAGUGGAAAACAACUUUGUUAUGAAGAAACAGGUAAACAACAUCAUACUACCACCUAUAUAGCAAAAGAUAUAUAACCACUUUAUAUCCGUUCACAGAUGAUGCAGCUGAAAGACCCCGUCCAAAACGACAAAGGUACAGAGACUAAGCAAGAAUAACAGACCAACAAGAAGAUGACAGCAUCAGCAUCAACAUGCCCACCCAUCAACAAUAAAAUCACAAUGUCAUCUAUAAAUAUAUGUACAAUGAAACAUAAGACUUCUUUUGUUGUAUUGUUAUAAAUCCACACAAUAACACAUUUAUUUCCAUGUGCAGAGCAUAGGUAUUGCUUAACGCACAUACAUGACAACAAAGACUUUUAAAUUCACUACAUAUUUACCUUUCUCUUCGAUAAACUGUCACCAUUGAUCGAAAAUGCUCCGUUCCUCACUAUUCUCAAUCAUAAGCUCCAGCAAAUCAUAAUUUGAAUCCACCAACUCAACUGUGCCCGUUUCUUUUUGUCAUACGGCUUAAAGGGUUAUUCACAGUACUCCACCGACACCGAAAUUAACAUAUUCGAUCUAUCCUAUUCAAGAAAUUCGUAACAGAUUCUUCGAACGGUAUCUAAAUCUGUUCUCUCAUGCCUCUUACCUUCUUCCAAUUACAUAUGUAAAACGAAAUUAGGGUAGACAUACCAGACCCCUUUCUGAUAAACCAUUUUCGUGAAUAUUGGAGACGAGUAACCCGACUCGGGUUUAAUUUUUACCCAAAACUAAACAUUUUCAAGUUAUUACAACUUAGGUCCUUUAAACAACUCAAUUUAUCUUAAUAUACCCUUUAUUUUACUCUUAUAAUAAAAACUAACCUACUAAAAGAACAUUUCAAAUUAGCACCGGGCUUUCUUUAGUUUUCCUUCUUUCCGACUAACAAUCGUUCAUCUCUCCAACGAAACAACGGAUUCCCUUAAUACAACUACUUUCAAUCAGAUUGAAUUUAGGGGCAAUUUGGACAUUUGUAACUGGUGUAAAUGGUUAUUUGUCCAAGUAAGAAGUUUUUUGAUCCUACCCUUACCUCUCUAACCAAGGGCUCCAACUAUUUUUUAUAAAAUACAGUAAUUCAACAAAAAUUACAUAUUUUUUAUAUUCACCGUUACAAAUAUAUAUAUAUAUAUAUNNNNNNNNNNNNNNNNNNNNNNNNNNAAAUGUCCCGUGGUUUACCACGGGUUUACUUACUAGUUUGUAUUAUUGUAUAAAGUGAAUUAUACUAACCAUAAUAUAGAAAAACCACCUAAAUGUGAUAAUAAGAAAUUCUAGCCACAUGACUAUAGUUUCAUUGUGAAAUAACCAUUAAAAGUUACAUGGAGUCACUUUGCUAUUCUUUCAUGUGGAAAUUCAAAACCCUGAAGUCCAUCGCUAAAAUCUUGGGUCUCACAAUUUGAUUGCCAAAGAAGUUCUUGUGUUAUCUUUUAUAUAGAUUACUAGUAGUCUUAAUGGUACAUCUUUGAAGCGGGUCAAUUGGUGUUGUAAUCUCAUACAUGAUGACAUUUUAUUCUAUUUGAUGUUUUUAAAAAAUCGGACAUUCUUGUUUUUUUUUCUCACUCAUUGUACGAUGACAAUUAAAAAUAAAUAGAACAAGAUCCAUCGCAUAGAAACCAAUUUACCAUUUAUUCAUUUACCAAAAAAUAAAUAAUAAAUAAAAAAAAUAAAUAAAUUUUAUAAAUUAGUAUCUUUUUUCAUAUCAUCUGUUGCAAGAGAAAUACAAAAAUUUCCAAGUUUAUCCAAUACCAUUAGACAAUGAGAGACCACAGGAAAACACCUUUAAUGCACUUAUGUACAUGACAAGAUUCUAAAAAAAAUAUCAUAUGAAGGAUCUGUAUUUUAUUUAAUAAUUGAACCUUCAAAUGAAAUUAAGGAUUUUUACAAGAGAAUAUAAACUAGCUCACAAAGCAAAUGAUUGGCACCAACUCAUAAAAUUAAAGACAUAAAUGAAAACUAACUAAAUGAAUGAUUUAAAGGUACAAAUAACAAAGGUACAAGUGUGUAAAGUAUCAAUUAAACACAUAAUUGUCAGAGUAAUAAACACAAAAACAAUGAAGUGCAUACUCAUCGCACUCCAAGCACUUAAAGAUCAUAUCGUACUGUAAUUCUUCGGUGCACACUUUGCACAGACCAUGGGACUGAAUCCCUUGAAGAAAGGAUAGACGAUGUGGGUGAAGUCCUUUGAUCUCAACAGUCCCUCCAAACUUGACGUUCACAAACUCAAAGACACCUCUUCCAUACUUGGCAUAUACAUGUUGCUCACACUCAAGGAUUAAGGGCGCACAAGCAGGAUGCAUAGACUGGGCACAAGUAGAACUACAAUGAUAGAACCACAAUUCAGGGUUAAAAUUUUCCUCACAAAUUUCACAGAAGUAGUCGCUAGAGUGGUUCUCAACUGGAUUGUAUCUUAGGCUGAAUGGAUGCUUAUCGAACUUGUGCCUCAUCAUUCCAGGCAACAACAAAGCACACUCCGUAUCCAAGUAGAAAUCACAAGAGGGGCAAUGGAAAGCGAUAUUGCAAUCUUCGAGGUAACAACGACAUGAAUUGCAUAAUUUUUUUGAUAGAUCAGCUGAAGAAGCAUUGAUUCUUGAGAGGAGAUGGCCUGGGUGAGCUUCAUGUGUGAUUUCUUUAGGUAGGAAUGCACAAUUGAUAUCUACAUAAUACUCACAUUCAGCACAUCCAUAUGCGAAACUAUUGCCAUAUAAACAACAAUUGUAACAGAAAAAUAAACCCAUUAACCGCUGAGGGUUCUUUGACACGAGAACAAGCACAUGCUCUGGAUGGCCAGGGUGGUCUUGUAUUUUGGAAGGUAGCCUGGCACACCACUCAUGAAGAACAAAACCACAACUACUUAUUUCAGAACACUUAUAAUAUGGCAUUUCCGUAAUUGGUUUCAAACAAGCGUCACAUAAUACUUGAAUUUUCUUCAUGGGGUCGUGGAGAACAAUUGAUUUGUUUCCAAGUACUGAUGUUUGUCGCGCGUGUGUAUCUAAAAGAAUCAGUGGGUGUUGAUGACUAAAAUGGUUGAGCAUUUCACCGCCAUGCUCUUCUUCUUUAAUCAUAGUAAUAAACUCUUUCUUAUUUUUUAUAAAAUAGUGUCUGAGAAGGUUGUAACUUUCAUCCGGAAAUGGACAGUGGAGAAGAUUAGGAUAAUCAUCGUCUUUGAAAUUUUUAUAAGUCUUGCCACCACCUGAUCAUAAGUGAUAAGACAAUGAAAAGUAAAAAACUAAGAUUGAGGAAUCUUUAAAUGGUAAAAAAAUUAAAGAGAAGAAUAAACAAGUUAUACAUAUUACCGGGGUGUAAGAAGAUUGACAUAAAUGGCUCUGUCUUUGAAGUUGCACAAUUAAUAUGGGCAUAAUAUUGACAUUUAUCGCAUUUGUAAAGCCAUAAGUAACAAUCGAAGUACUUCUUACAAACUCUGCAUCUAGGAUUAUACUUAGCUUUCUGAUCAACUUCAGGAAAGGAAUAGGCAAGGGUAAGUGGAUGAGAAUGAGUGAAAGUGGCAUCAGUAUGUUGUUGGAUAAGUAACUUUGCUGGCAACAAAGCACAAUCUAAGUGGAUGGAGUACCACAAACACGUGGUGCAUUGGUAGAAGGUCCCUUGAUGUUUUUCGCCACAAGCGCUGCAAUGUGAUACCAACUCCUUGGACAUACGUUGCAGUUGGUGAGGGUGGCUUGGGUGGUCCAUCUUUUGUUGAGACAUAGUGGCACAGAUUAUGUCCAUGUUGAUUUCACAAAUGGAACACAUGUAAUUGAAUAUGUUCUUCCGCAUAAGAUUGCAGACACUACAUGCCCAUUCGUCACUGGAAUAUAUCCAAAAGAAUCCUUUAGACAAGGUAAGAUUAUGGUAGGGAUGGAAAUCAUGUGAUGGGUGGUUUUGUAGGGUUUUUGGCAUUUCUGCACAAAAUUUGUGCAACGAGUAGUCAUCAUCACAAUCCUUACAUUCGUAGUAACUCAUAUGAAAUGAGUAGAUCCCUUCUUUACACAUUUUGCACUUUCCAACAUGCUUCUCUUCAGCCACAAAAUCAUCCUCCUCACCUUCCUCUUUCUCUUCUUCUUCAUCAGAGUUUUCACUAUCGUGGCUAGCAGGUUGCAGAUGGACAAGGCUGAGCGUAUGAUCAUGAGUGAAGUGCAAAAGUUGCUCCAUUGUAGCUAGCUAUGUCGAUGAUAUCUCUAACUACCAAAAAAACAUAUAUAUAUAUAUAUAUAUAUANNNNNNNNNNNNNNNNNNNNNNNNNNNNNNNNNNNNNNNNNNNNNNNNNNNNNNNNNNNNNNNNNNNNNNNNNNNNNNNNNNNNNNNNNNNNNNNNNNNNNNNNNNNNNNNNNNNNNNNNNNNNNNNNNNNNNNNNNNNNNNNNNNNNNNNNNNNNNNNNNNNNNNNNNNNNNNNNNNNNNNNNNNNNNNNNNNNNNNNNNNNNNNNNNNNNNNNNNNNNNNNNNNNNNNNNNNNNNNNNNNNNNNNNNNNNNNNNNNNNNNNNNNNNNNNNNNNNNNNNUGUAUGUCUAUAUAUAUAUAUAUAUAUAUAUAUAUAUAUAUAUAUAUAUAUAUACACAUACAUGAAGCUUUACACCAUCGUAACAAAACUAAAAAUAAUCAUAUUAGAUCCAACAUAUGUAAACUAAAACUAAAGCAUUCAUAAAUCACAAAUCAUCAAAUACAUAAUCAAACCAUUUUUUUUUCUUAGUAAACUCAAUCUUUGUAAACUUUUAUAAAAUCCAUAAUUAAAUAUCGCAAUAUGUGUCCUAGUAAUAUAAGAAUAACUCCAUAACAAUCUAUAUUUUAUUCUAAACAGUUUAUUAAGCUUUGGAUUCAUAAUACUCCAACAAAGAUGUCAUCACCAAUUCACAAAAAAGUUGUCAACAUUUAUCUUUUUAGUGAAACAUUCUCUUGAUGUACGUUUUGAUUUCUAAUAAGCACACUAUCUUUGUCAAUUAUCCAAAACAAAAUAUAUUUAUUAACCUGAAAAAUGAAAGAAAAAGAGAUAUACCUCUUGUAUUGCACAAACAACAAAUUGGACUUAUGUUUUGACGGUAAGAUGGGAAAGAAAUUGACCAUUAAAAACAACAAAAAAGAAUAUGUUUGAUUACACGCAAAGAACUAACCCUUAUUUACGGAAUCUUUGCUUUGAUUUUCCAAUACAAAGUUGUUUCUUAUUCUAUUCUUGGAUUGCAUGCAAAGCAAAUUAAAAAUGUAAUAUUCCCUCAUCUUUAUUUGAGAAUAAUUCAUUUCUCUAUCAAUAUACUUGUUUGUUAAAUGAAAUCAUGGAAACAAUUAAUCGCAAUAACAAGACAUCUAAUAGCUAAUAAUGUAUCUGUUGUGUGCCAUCUUAGUAAACCAAAAGGCAAUUUGGUGAUACUAUAGCAACGGACUUACCUUUUUUUGCCAAUGUAGGCAAUGUACUUUAUUUUAGCAACACAUUGAUACUAGAAUAGCAACAUGCUUACAUUUUGCUAUCAAUAUAAGCAAUGUACUUUAAUUGUUAGUAUAAAAAAAAUGCAAGUACAAUUAUGGUUAAAGUUGCUAUUUUGUUUUGUGAAAAAUGUAAGUAUACUUUGUUAUUAUGGCUUGAAGAUAGUUAUCAUCAGUAAACAAAAGGUAAAUACGUUGCUAUUGUGGGUAAAAAAAAAAAAAGUGUAAUUAUGUUGGUAUAAUGGUUAAAAUAAUAAAGACAUUGCCUAUAUCGAUGAAAAGAAUAAAGUCCGUCGUUUCUCGAAAUUUGCCCUAAAGUGAAGACACCAUGGAUUGGUGAUAAAUGAGUACCUGCGCUUUGGAUUCAUGUUUAAGUAUCAUCCAAUUCACAUAAGCAAGAUCCAAAUGACAAACGAACCGAUCCAUGUCCAAAUCUGCUUUUCACUGUAGGCAAGGCUAUUUCAAUCCUGUAUUUGAUCCUAGACUGCUCAGAAUCGUGUUCUUCAUCACUACUGUACACAUUAUAUUUAUUUCGUCUCCUUUUCUUUUCAGACAUCAUUCCAUUACUAUGAUCUGCUUCCCCACUUGUUGAUUACCAAAUCAUUUAACUUCAAUAAUAGGUAUAAUAGUCCUUCCAAUGGAUACAACAAGUUGUUGGAGGUCUCAUCGUCCUGACCACUAUUGGCAUAAUAAUCAAACUCUUCUUCUGGUCGUGGUAAUUGAAAGUUCAUCAAGACUACAAAUAAACCCAACAAAUAACUCGCAUUAUUUUUUGGUAAUACCAAAAUUAAAAUCUUGGUAAACCCUAGACUUGAGUGAAGUAAAUCCACAAUUUUUCUUUUAUUUUCCAGCCAAUCUUCUGGUGAUUUGUUGUUAUAGGAUCCCAAUUUUUGUGGGAUCAAAUUUUAUCAUUUACAACCUAUAAAAACGAUUGAUGCUCUUCCUUUUAUUCACACGAUUUUAGAUUUCUCAUGAUUUCCCGUAGCAGCUGUUUUCUUCUCCAAUCUUUGUUCCAGGUUUCUUUUUUCUCCGAUGUUUGUUCCAGAUUUCUUUUUUCUCACAGCCUUCCUCCGUAAACAAUUCAUCACUUUCACAGCCGAAACCAUCAUCACCACCUUAUACCACCGGCAAAACAAGAAGUCCAAAGCCAUAGCCACCCACGACCUCGUCAAACUCAACAUUCAACCUCACCACCUAUUAUUAGAAUAAAAAAGAAGGAAGUGUGUGUUUCUUUUUGUGUGCCGCCUCUGUUUCACCUCCUACAUCACAAUCUACCACCACACGUACCUACUGCCACCUCCGUGAACACCCAAAACCACCUGCCGGAAACACCAUCUACCUAGACCUCCUCCAGUCCUGUUUUACCGGGAACCAAUCAACCUACGGGAAAUACCGAAACCUUCAUCACCUGCUUUCACCAACCUUAUACCACCUCUAAUCCACCUUGAAUUACCAAACGAAUUCACCUGCCCCUCACCAUCGAAGAAAAAAAAAAGUGCUCCUGUGUUUUGACGGCUGCAGGUAAAAGAAUACAC